rnacentral:snRNA from 1 species
AUCACCUCUCAGCCUUUUGGCUAAGAUCAAGUUUAGUAUCUGUUGUUAUCAGUAGUUAUCUUUUAAUACCAUUAGUGAGUUAGAAGUUGAAGCCGUGUCUUAAAAAGUUUAUAUUAAGUAUCAGUAAUAUUUAUAUUUGAUUUCAAAUAAUAGUAAAUAUAGUAAACACUUAUGAAGUCUUAACUCUGUAAUUCUAUACCCUCU